rnacentral:rRNA from 1 species
GCGAACGCUGGCGGCAUGCUUAACACAUGCCAGUCGCACGGGCAGCAAUGUCAGUGGCGGACGGGUGAGUAACGCGUAGGAACGUGUCCUGAGGUGGGGGACAACCCCGGGAAACUGGGGCUAAUACCGCAUAUGGGCUGAGGCCCAAAGCCGAGAGGCGCCUUUGGAGCGGCCUGCGUCCGAUUAGGUAGUUGGUGGGGUAAAGGCCUACCAAGCCUGCGAUCGGUAGCUGGUCUGAGAGGACGACCAGCCACACUGGGACUGAGACACGGCCCAGACUCCUACGGGAGGCAGCAGUGGGGAAUAUUGGACAAUGGGCGAAAGCCUGAUCCAGCAAUGCCGCGUGGGUGAAGAAGGUCUUCGGAUCGUAAAGCCCUUUCGACGGGGACGAUGAUGACGGUACCCGUAGAAGAAGCCCCGGCUAACUUCGUG